rnacentral:rRNA from 1 species
GACGAACGCUGGCGGCGUGCCUAAUACAUGCAAGUCGAGCGAAUCAAUAGGAGCUUGCUCCUGUUGGUUAGCGGCGGACGGGUGAGUAACACGUGGGCAACCUGCCUGUAAGACUGGGAU